GACAUGAAAAUGAAUUUUCAUUUACGAUCAAAACUACAUAGGAAAAAUAGUUCAAUUAUGAUUAGUUUAUAGAUUGAUCUUGAAAGGUCUAUCUGUAAUCAAGGAUGGAGGUCAACACUCCAAUGUUUAUCAUUUCUAUACCUACCGUCUUUCUUUCUCCUUUUCUCAUCAUUCUAUCUCAGAAACUUAAUCUCUGUCAAGAAAUACCAGCAAGAAUUGCUUUCAAUACCGACUCUUUAUCUUCUAUAUAGUUUAAAAAUUCAAACAGCCAAUUAGGAUAAAUUUAGCAACCAGUCUUAUUAAAAUUUAAAUAACAAACAAGACAAACUAUCAACUAGGCGCAUCUUACCAUCCUUUUUUUUUUUUUUU
rnacentral:misc_RNA from 1 species